rnacentral:rRNA from 1 species
CAGCAGCCGCGGUAAUACAGAGGUCUCAAGCGUUGUUCGGAAUUACUGGGCGUAAAGCGUGCGUAGGCGGCGGGGUAAGUCAGAUGUGAAAGCCCAGGGCUCAACCUCGGAACUGCAUCCGAUACUGCCCCGCUUGAGUAGUGGAGGGGCGACUGGAAUUUACGGUGUAACAGUGAAAUGCGUAGAUAUCGUAAGGAACACUAGUGGCGAAGGCGAGUCGCUGGACACUUACUGACGCUGAGGCACGAAGGCCAGGGUAGCGAAAGGGAUUAGAUACCCCUGUAGUCCUGGCAGUAAACGGUGCGCGCUUGGUGUGGGGAGGUUCGACCCUCUCCGUGCCGGAGCUAACGCGUUAAGCGCGCCGCCUGGGGAGUACGGCCGCAAGGCUAAAACUCAAAGAAAUUGACGGGGACCCGCACAAGCGGUGGAGUAUGUGGCUUAAUUCGAUGCAACGCGAAGAACCUUACCUGGGCUUGACAUGCAUCUCUAAAACCGUGAAAGCCGGUGGAGUACCUUGCUACAAUUUGCACAGGUGCUGCAUGGCUGUCGUCAGCUCGUGUCGUGAGAUGUUGGGUUAAGUCCCGCAACGAGCGCAACCCCUGUGUCCUGUUACCAGCGCGUUAUGGCGGGGACUCUGGACAGACUGCCCAGAUCAACUGGGAGGAAGGUGGGGACGACGUCAAGUCAGUAUGGCCCUUAUGCCCAGGGCUGCACACGUACUACGAUGCCCAGUACAGCGUGGACCGAUCCCGCAAGGGGGAGGAAAUCUCCAAAACUGGGCCCAGUUCGGAUUGUGGGCUGCAACUCGCCCACAUGAAGCCGGAAUCGCUAGUAAUGGCGCAUCAGCUACGGCGCCGUGAAUACGUUCCCGGGUCUUGUACACACCGCCCGUCACAUCAUGGAAGCCGGUCGCACCCGAAGUGCGUGCGCCAACCUUUGGAGGCAGCGCCCUAAGGUGAGACUGGUGACUGGGAUGAAGUCGUAACAAGGUAACCGUA